AACUAAGGUGAGUAAAACCCGUGUAACAAGUUGGCGUAGAUCUGUUCCUGUUUACUUUCGAGACUGAUAUCAAUAUGAAGUACGCAUUCUCUCUCUGUCUGUUCGUGAUUCUGGCACUUGGUGUCUACCAAACUGCUUGUCAGCCUAAUCCUUACCCGUCUCCCGCUCCAAGUGCCAGCAUGCAAGCAGAAACAAACCAAGAUAUCGACGAGGCAGCCAUCCCCCCAUCGGAUAAAGACUGCCUGUACCAUCCAAUCAAUUGUUGGGAUAAGUAGUGCUGCUGGAGUUCGUGACGUCAUCAAUAACGCUGAUGUGAAGGUCAUGAGAACAUCAAAGGACGAUUAUCAUCCUUAUUAUUUCUGACGUAAAAAAAAGAAAUGGGGAAAGAAUUUCAAUAAAAUGUAUAACACAUCAA